GAUUGUACAAAAUCUUUGACUGCUUUCCACAUUUGUGGCCAUCAAAAGUCCUUGGAUAUUAAUUCCAAAGUUUUAUUGUACCCAAAAUGUCUUGCUGCUAGAAAGUCAUGACGAGCUUGAAGAACACAUAAUUGAGCUUCACCUUUUGGAACAUAUAGGCAUCCCUCAAAAUAUAGUAGAUUCUUUUUGAAUUCAAACUUAGAAGUAUCAUGAGACUUUGAAGGAUUUCUCUUCAUAUCACAAAUAAGAGGAUCAAAAGACAUACUUGACUGAACUUGUUUAAUGAAAGUUGAAUCAACAGUUAGUGUUGAU
rnacentral:lncRNA from 1 species